GAGAUUUCCGCGGAAGAGCCUGUUAUGGAGGAUCACUAACAGGAGCGUGGGAAGACUCCAGAAUCCACUCUGGCUGGAAUCCGGUGGAUACAGCAGUGUUACAGAACAGUUCUCCACAGUCGCUCUCCACAUGGGUCAGUGGGACCACGCAGCACUCUGCUAAUGUGUGGACUCUGACCAGCAACAUCCAGCAAGACCCAGACAGCGUUUUCUAUCUCCCAGCUGGAGUUUUUUGUUUGUCUGUGACUGGAGAGUCACAGAUUUUUGUUGAGGCUGGAGGAACAGCCUCACACUCGCAGAGGUUAAUACACGCUACUGAUCCCUGAUGGGAGAAUCAUCACCUCUGCCAACAAAGAAGCCUGGUGGAUGUUUGUUUACAGUCUGAUGAUGGGACAUCAUGCUCUGCAUCUUCAAAGUUUGUCUCUUGAUUAUUAUUCAUACACAGUAAUGUGAAGUAUGCUUAUAUCUAGUAUAACGGGACCAACGUGGUGCUCUUCAUUUAUGGAGGCUGUUGAGUCUGAAUGUUGGAUGUUGUGUAUCUCUUGUUCUCUGGGCUUUGUUGUCCUCAGUCUUUUUGCAGGAUCAGAAAACAAAACCAGGAUGACCGUAAAUGUUUCUUCUCCAAUUGGAUGAUGAUAAGACUGUGACACGGGAUGCCACCUUUAGUCUUGUGAUGAAGCAAAGCUCAGGAAAAAGUGUGAUUAAAUGGUACCCACAUGUGUGCUGCUGAGAAGGAUGUACAGGGGCACCUGCAGCCAAAUCCAAGCCUCCUCAGGUUAGUUGUAGUUGCAGAAUGCUUUAGGACUGAGACAGCUGAGGCAUCAAAUGUUUGAUUAAAUGGAUGAAAAAGAGAAGUUUCUUCCCUGUAAUUAUCACUUUUUAAAAUCUUUAGCAACUUCAAGUCUGUCAGCGUGCUGAGGUCACAGAAACAAGAAAAGCAGCUUCAGACUUCAGAGUGUUGUUUACAGUUUUCUGUCAUCAUGAUCUCCCCUGAAGUUUAUCACUAUUAGGCAAGCAAGCAGAGCGGCCGUUUGUGCUCACAGAUGGUGACGGUGUGGAGAGACGGUGGUGUUUCCUCAGAAGAACUAGCAGAGUCACAACGGGCACGAGUCCAUCUCACCACCUUGACUUGCUGACUGAUGCUCGUCUGCACUGCACAGAGGAAAUCAACUGACCGAGGAGUGUUUCUGAGUGAGGGAGAGAGGAGUCAUCAUCCAGGUAAAGUGACGUGGAUCAGUGGAUACACUUGUCUCCGCUUUAAAGGAGACACUCUUAGAGAGAGACGAUCCGAGUCAUCCUUAAAUAUGGGCAGGAUAUCAGUCUUGGACUGUCUAACCUGCCGGAGCAGUACUGAAUGAUCACCACACAUGAGCAUGUUCCUGCAACAUUCAGCAUCUGAUCUGCCAUCUGUGUGCUUCUGCUUUUGUGUCAAAUGUCAAACAGCUGGAGAGGAAACUACACCAGUGUACUGGGAUGUUUCACCAACACGUGCCAGACGCUGUUCCUUCAUGGUGACAUCACCAGAGACAGUCCCGCCCACCUCAGGACCUCUCCAUUGAUCAUGAUGAUUAUAAUAAUGACAGCGAGCGGAACUAAGACUGUAAAAAUCCAUAACCAGAAUGUUUAGAUGCUUUCUAAUUAUUAAUGAAUACUGAGAGUCUCUUUCUGUGUUUUGUCUGGGUUUUUUUUUGUUUUUUUUUUACCUCAUUUGUUACUAACAAAGUUCACCAAACUCACACAGUUUACAUUCUGUAUGCUUCCAUCUUUACCAGCCACACUCUUAACUGCAAUUAAGAAAAUAAUCCUUAGAAAUCUUCGUUUUUCUCUUUUGUAAUUGAUGAUAAUUCAGUGAAUAUACUGCGCUGCUUCCUUUUGUUUCAUCUCACAUUGCUUUAAGUUUUUCAGUGUCCAGUUAUUUUUUACUGCUGUUUGAAUUCUCUGUAUGUUUGACCCUGUAGACUGUUUAAUGGACUGCUUGUCUUCCUGUUUGUAACCGCCGCCUGUUUUUGACUAAAGGUUUGGAUUUCUGACUUUAACACAGUCUCUGCGUGUCCUCCCUUUGUGUCCUCUUCCUCUGUGAAUGUGUUGCAUGUGUCACAGAUUCAUU
ensembl:lncRNA